CCGCGGUAAUACGUAGGGUGCAAGCGUUAAUCGGAAUUACUGGGCGUAAAGCGUGCGCAGGCGGCUUUGCAAGACAGAUGUGAAAUCCCCGGGCUCAACCUGGGAACUGCAUUUGUGACUGCAAGGCUAGAGUACGGUAGAGGGGAGUGGAAUUCCGCGUGUAGCAGUGAAAUGCGUAGAUAUGCGGAGGAACACCGAUGGCGAAGGCAGCUCCCUGGACCUGUACUGACGCUCAUGCACGAAAGCGUGGGGAGCAAACAGGAUUAGAUACCCUGGUAGUCCACGCCCUAAACGAUGUCAACUGGUUGUUGGACGGCUUGCUGUUCAGUAACGAAGCUAACGCGUGAAGUUGACCGCCUGGGGAGUACGGCCGCAAGGUUG
rnacentral:rRNA from 1 species